UACGUAGGGGGCAAGCGUUGUCCGGAUUUAUUGGGCGUAAAGAGCGUGUAGGCGGCUAGAUAGGUCCGUUGUGAAAACUCGAGGCUCAACCUCGAGACGCCGAUGGAAACCCUCUAGCUAGAGUCCGGAAGAGGAGAGUGGAAUUCCCGGUGUAGCGGUGAAAUGCGCAGAUAUCGGGAAGAACACCCGUGGCUAAGGCGGCUCUCUAGUACGGUACUGACGCUGAGACGCAAAAGCGUGGGGAGCGAACAGG
rnacentral:rRNA from 1 species